GGAGGUAGCUUUAUGGUAGAGCACUUACCUUGCAUGCAUGAAGCCCUGGGUUCAAACCCCAGGACUAUA
rnacentral:tRNA from 1 species